UCAGGCCUACUUAGGGGUACCAUUUUCCAUGUACUCCGGCAUAGUUACUCAAGGUUCCUGGACUUCGGGUUCAGUCGAGCAGUCCAAGGAAAGCGUUUCUUAUCAGUUGGAUAUGUUGCAGUAGUUGGUGGAAUAGCGUGCGCACGUGGUCUUCUUUUUGUAUAUAUAUUUUGCAGCUAUGUGACUCUUCCGUGCAGUUUUUUAUUUUGUUUUUUUUUUUUUUUUUAACCAGGUGUUGACCUUGCGGCCCACCACCUAGGCCCGGCGCCAGCCUUUGUCUGUACCUUCUUACGGGCCCUGGACACGCCUCCCCCUCCCCGCGAGUCGAACCGGUCACCUCCCCUCCCCAAGGAGGAUACCACUGGACUACGAGG
rnacentral:lncRNA from 1 species